rnacentral:misc_RNA from 1 species
UCCGGCUUGUCACCGGCAGUUUCUUCAGAGUGCCCGACAUUACUCGCUGGCAACUGAAGAUGGGGGUUGCGCUCGUUGCGGGACUUAACCCAACAUCUCACGACACGAGCUGACGACAGCCAUGCAGCACCUGUGUUCCGGCCAGCCGAACUGAAGGGAUCCAUCUCUGGUUCCCGCGACCGACAUGUCAAGGGUUGGUAAGGUUCUGCGCGUUGCUUCGAAUUAAACCACACGCUCCGCUGCUUGUGCGGGCCCCCGCCUAUUCCUUUGAGUCUUAACCUUGCGGCCGUAGUCCCCAGGCGGUGAACUUAAUGCGUUAGCUGCGGCACUGAUCGGGUCAAUCCGACCAACACCUAGUUCACAACGUUUAGGGCGUGGACUAC